rnacentral:misc_RNA from 1 species
AACAUCGCGCACCUGCGGGAACCUGCGGAAGGAUCAUUAAAGAGUUAGGGUCCUCUGGGCCCGACCUCCCAACCCUCUGUUUACCGAACCUCUGUUGCUUCGGCGGACCCGUCUCACGACCGCCGGAGGACCGCCCCCCAGGCGUCCUCUGGCCAGUGUCCGCCGACAGCCAACCUUCAAAACUCCUGAAUAAAUCAUGUCGUAUGUCUAAGUCUUAUGAUUCAAAUCAAUAAAGCAAAA